AGGAUUUACAGGCGUUGUUUCCCGGUAUAUGGUUGACAGAGGUCUCAGCUGAUUCGUUAAAGAUUCUUGAAUUCCCUGAAAAUGUCAAGAUCUGGUAUGGUUUUCUUGUAUGGAAGUUAUGGGCAUGAAUAACCAAAUCAUUAUGAGGGAGCUAUCACAUGUAAGAUUUAUUUCCCUAUAUAAAGAGGCCUGUGGAGUAAAGGAACUAGAGCGGAUGAGAAAAUGAAAUCUGAUAUGCCUCUUGAUUAUGCGGUUUUCCAGUUGUCACCCAAGCAUUCAAGAUGUGAUGUUCAGGUCAUUUGAGUUACCGAUUGGCUAUGACUGUGACUAUGCUGAAUACCAUAGUUUGCUGGAUUUUUAAUUGGAAUUGUUGGAGCAGCUCAAGUCAAGUAAGCUCAAACAGAUCAUUUUGAAAAAGAAGUUGGAACUGGAGCAUCCACCAGACACACUAAGUGCAGCUCCCUUAGCACUACACUAUGCAAGUAUGAGAGAACUUUAGUCGCAAAUAUUUGUCUCUCAAAGAUUUGUUUGUAUCAGCUUUUGCUAUUUUUCAAUGUUAGCUAGAAUGCAGCAGCUAUCAAGCUAGCUAGAAUGCCUUCUUUUUUGGUUUUAUGGUGUGGAUACAUAAAUGUAUAGAUGAUUGACAAAGGCUGCUAGCUCUU
rnacentral:lncRNA from 1 species